UCUACAAUACAACACUGGCAGAUGUGAUGGUGGUCAGCGUGCUGGUGGGCAGUCACUUGGGGACUCCCAGGAGCCAUGCUGAUUCUCCUGAGUCUCGCAUUCGGGGUUACAGAACUGUCGAGCACCGGAGGAAGACCAUUCACUACGUUCUGAUUACUGAGACCCUCGAAUUCCCAUAUGAAUUGUAGCAGCAGCUAGUCAGUUACUGCAGAGGACCCCGCUGGGAUUGUGAUCGAGACCACGUUGAGUAUACGGAUCGCUCUGGGGAGCACUGCCAUCCCAAGAGCGCUGUCAUCUGAUCCAGGAAUCUGCGUGGUAUGUCUGUCCAGGUGCCCUCACCUCCAGUGGCAUCCAUCCAGACACCAGCACUGACACUGGCCGUGCUCA